rnacentral:rRNA from 1 species
AGAACGAACGCUGGCGGCAGGCUUAACACAUGCAAGUCGAACGCCCCGCAAGGGGAGUGGCAGACGGGUGAGUAACGCGUGGGAAUCUACCCAGUUCUACGGAAUAACACAGGGAAACUUGUGCUAAUACCGUAUACGCCCUACGGGGGAAAGAUUUAUCGGGAUUGGAUGAGCCCGCGUUGGAUUAGCUAGUUGGUGGGGUAAUGGCCUACCAAGGCGACGAUCCAUAGCUGGUCUGAGAGGAUGAUCAGCCACACUGGGACUGAGACACGGCCCAGACUCCUACGGGAGGCAGCAGUGGGGAAUAUUGGACAAUGGGCGCAAGCCUGAUCCAGCCAUGCCGCGUGAGUGAUGAAGGCCUUAGGGUUGUAAAGCUCUUUCAGUGGGGAAGAUAAUGACGGUACCCACAGAAGAAGCCCGGCUAACUUCGUGCCAGCAGCCGC